rnacentral:rRNA from 1 species
CAGUAGCCGGGUAAUACAGAGGGUGCGAGCGUUAAUCGGAUUUACUGGGCGUAAAGCGUGCGUAGGCGGCUUUUUAAGUCGGAUGUGAAAUCCCUGAGCUUAACUUAGGAAUUGCAUUCGAUACUGGGAAGCUAGAGUAUGGGAGAGGAUGGUAGAAUUCCAGGUGUAGCGGUGAAAUGCGUAGAGAUCUGGAGGAAUACCGAUGGCGAAGGCAGCCAUCUGGCCUAAUACUGACGCUGAGGUACGAAAGCAUGGGGAGCAAACAGGAUUAGAUACCCCAGUAGUCCCUGUCUCUUAUACC